GUGCAAACCACCACCAUGUGCAUCUCUGUGAGUCUGAGCGGCUUCGUCGUGCUGGGCUGCUUGUUCGCGCCCAAGGUGCACAUCAUCCUCUUCCAGCCCCAGAAGAACGUGGUCACUCAUAGGCUCCAUCUCAACAGGUUCAGUGUCAGUGGGACCGGGACCAACUACUCCCAGUCAUCUGCUAGUAUGUACGUACCAACUGUCUGCAAUGGAAGGGAAGUUUUGGACUCCACCACCUCAUCUCUGUGAUUGUGACUUGCAGUUCCGUUUUUGAGUUUUUAGACUGUUAGGUGAAAUUUUGCACAUGUUGUGCAGUCCGGAAAACACCAGAAAACAAAAGAAAUCAAAACAAAACUAGUACCUUUUUUUAGAAACAGUGUAAUAAAUUAUUUUUGAGGAUUGUACAGUAUAUAGUGAUGUUCUGGAACUUUUUAGACUGAUUUUAGCACUUCUGUUGUUAACGGUUGUAAGGGACAUGUAAAUAACCAUGGUUCACAAUGUGCAUAGUCCUGCAGUAAGGAAGUGAUUUGCUGCAAGCACAGUUGCAAUGUUAGGUGACUUCUUUCCUACGAAAUUUUUUGUAGCUCCUUGUGUAAUUAACUUAGACUGCAUUUCUAUGUAGUAUAUUACAGUUACCUUACGUGUAACAGAUCGGUUUUCUCAGCACAAAGCAGUAUUAAUGUAAAGGCAUCGAUAAUAAAAAGAUAAAAGUUUUUCAGCA